rnacentral:tRNA from 2 species
GCCUGCUGUGGCACGAGGUGCUGGUGGGCUGGGAGCGCGCCAAGGCCCAGGGCGAGCCACCGUUCCCGGCGCUGCAGCUGGCG